AGUGAACGCUGGCGGUAGGCCUAACACAUGCAAGUCGAACGGCAGCACAGAGGAGCUUGCUCCUUGGGUGGCGAGUGGCGGACGGGUGAGGAAUACAUCGGAAUCUACUCUGUCGUGGGGGAUAACGUAGGGAAACUUACGCUAAUACCGCAUACGACCUACGGGUGAAAGCAGGGGACCUUCGGGCCUUGCGCGAUUGAAUGAGCCGAUGUCGGAUUAGCUAGUUGGCGGGGUAAAGGCCCACCAAGGCGACGAUCCGUAGCUGGUCUGAGAGGAUGAUCAGCCACACUGGAACUGGGACACGGUCCAGACUCCUACGGGAGGCAGCAGUGGGGAAUAUUGGACAAAGGGCGCAAGCCUGAUCCAGCCAUACCGCGUGGGUGAAGAAGGCCUUCGGGUUGUAAAGCCCUUUUGUUGGGAAAGAAAUCCAGCUGGCUAAUACCCGGUUGGGAUGACGGUACCCAAAGAAUAAGCACCGGCUAACUUCGUGCCAGCCGCCGCCAGUAA
rnacentral:rRNA from 1 species